UUUUGGAUAGUUAUUGGAGACCUACUUGUAUUUUGAGGAAAACAUGUAUUUACAUUUUGGAAGAUGGAAAUGUAAUAUAUUCAAUGAAGUAAAUGCUGAAUGGUUGUAAUAGUUAGACUAUCUCUUUUUAUACACUUGUACAUUCACUUGUAGUUCUUGCUCUUAGUUAUAGUGCACUUGUGUGCAUCGUAUCGAUCAUGAAUGUUAUUUAAGCAUUCCCUGGGCGCUUAACUGUACAUGAUCUGGUUGCUUGGCCUUGGGCGGACAGGAGAGGUGCUGUCUGUUCGGCGGUCCGUCCGGCGCGCCCGAACCGUGCCAAAUUGGUAGUGGAUUCGGGGCGGGGCGUGACAGAGAGUUGUUGGUAUCAGAACAAUUAAGAGCAAGUAAAGAGAGAGUCUAGGAUGGACCUAGGAGACCUAGGUUGGCAACCCUAAGGUGGUAAGUACGUGAGAGAAACGUAAACCUAAAUCGGUUGAGGAAGAAUCCGAUUGGGUCGAAUUGAGCAUAGAUCUCUAGUGUGGCUAGAGAUAGAUCCGAGCGGUGUUAGUUUCUGAGCUCGAGGAGUUUGUGUUGGUAGCCGACAACACGACGCUAAGAGUCAGAACUAAUACACUAGUGUCCGUCCGCUGGUAGCGGAGUCGAGUCGCGUAAUACAGUAUAUGCGACGGAGUUAAGUGGGUUAGAUGACUAACCCGGUUGUUGCGUUACAGGAACGAUGUCCCCAAGAUGCUACGUACGUAGGUCCGUUCCGGCACCGUCUCCUGAGGUGCCUGAGGAAGCCGGAUCUAGUGAAGUACAGGAGUUACGGGCGCAGGUGUCGGCAUUGACCGGCAUUGUACAGCGCCAGGAGAGUCAGUUUGAGCAGCUCCAAGGGCUUAUGGAGCAGCAUUUGGCGGCGGCAACUGCAGCUGCGACUGAGGGCCGUGAUCCACCCCCGCCGCCAGCACGUGCGCCUACGGCGGCUGAGGGCGAGGGCAUUGCGGCAGUUCCGGUGGCGGCACGUCCUCUGCCGGCGAGCGUUCCUCCGGCGGCGUCGGGUUCUACGACACUCGAUACGACGGCAUUGGAGGUGGAGAGGGAGCGCGCGCUUACGGCUCUCGAGAAGUUCCGGAGGUUCAAUCCACCGACCUUCGAGGGAGAGAAGGUCGAACCAUGGAUGGUUGAGUCGUGGGUGGACUCAAUAGAGACCUUGUUCGAGGACCUCUACACCUUGGAGAGGGACAAGGUCUACCUCGCCACUCAUUGUUUGGAGCGAACGGCGAAGGUUUGGUGGAAGUGAAUCAAGAGGAACCGAGCUUCCGACCUUCCACCAUUGACGUGGGAGGAGUUUCGGGGAUUGUUUUAUGUCAACUACUUUCCCGAUAACGAGAAGAAGAAACUCCAGGAGCAGUUUUGAAGGUUAAAGCAAGGGAACCGCACGGUAGCGAAAUAUAAGCGAGAGUUCUCUCAUAUCAUUGACUGUGUCCCCGACGUAGUGCGGGAUGACAGGGAUCGAGCCGAUUGGUUCGAGCGAGGGCUCCGGGCUGAUAUCUACCGGGCGGUGCACAUAUAGAAGCUCACUACCUUCGUGGAGGUGCUCAACAGAGCGUUGUGGGCGGAGCAAGGAAACGCUCACAUCCGGGAGGAGCGAGAAGCGUCCGAGGAGGACGGUGGUAAGAAGCGGGCUCAGAGUAGCUCGGGAGCUCAAACCAAGUCAAUGAAGCCCUCGAAGUACCUGCAAACGCAAUACAAGGGCCGCAGACCGUAGUGAUGCACAAUCUGUGGUGGGAACCACGAGCCAAGGACGUGUGAUCAACGGGAAGGGAAGUGCUUCACGUGUGGACAGGCGGGCCAUAUCAGCCACUACUGUUCAAUGAGGGCUUCACCCGCCCCUUCGGUCGCGUCGGCUCCGGCGACUCCAGCGCAUUAUGGAGGAGUCCCACCUGCUGCGUCAUCGGCUGGACGUGCGAUGGUACUAUGCCAACCUGAGGCAACGAGAUCGGCUCCGAGCGGGCGGGUGUUCGCCGCCCAAACUCAAGCCGAGGAACCUGCUGAGGCGGAGGACCGCCAUGUACUCGCAGGUAUGGUUUUAAUUGACGAAGUUCGCUCCAGGGCUAUGUUUGAUAUAGGUGUUACACAUUCAUUCAUCAGUAGGUCAUUUGCACGCAUGCAUGACAUAGAACUACAAGAGAGUAAAAGCACUUGGAGAGUAUCGGGCCACGGACGUGAUUUUCUAGUCCGGAUGGAGUGUUCGUCUUGUCCAGUGCAGUUGGGCGAUUGGAUAAUGCCCAUCCGUAUGUUGGUGCUCAAAAGGUUGAAGGACUUCAACGUCAUUCUAGGAAUGGAUUGGCUCUCGAAGGAUUAUGCGACUAUUCACUGCAGAAGUAAAGUAAUAAUGUUUCGAGAACCGGGCCAGGAGGAAUUCACCUACCGGGCUUGUAGAAGCUCGCGCUUCGCUGCUAUGGUGUCGGCGACGAGGGCAAAGAAGUUGAUUAACAGCGGUUGUACGGCCUAUUUGGCGACCGUUGUGGAAGUCGAGAGGACGACUCCUACGCUCGAGGAGCUGUCUAUGGUUCGGGAAUUUCCAGACGCAUUUCCUGCGGAGUUACCGGGAAUGCCGCCAGACCGAAAGAUCGAGUUUGUGAUAGAUUUGGUUCCAGGAACCGCGCCUAUCUCGAAGGCUCCGUAUCGGAUGGCGCCGGCAGAAUUGAAGGAGUUACGGGCUCAGUUGAUAGAUCUCCUCGAUAAGGGAUUUAUACGGCCAAGUGUAUCGCCGUGGGGAGCCCCGGUUCUAUUCGUGCGAAAGAAGGACGGAUCGUUUCGACUCUGUGUAGACUAUCGCGAGUUGAACAAGGUCACGAUCAAGAAUAAGUACCCGUUGCCCAAGAUCGAUGAUUUAUUUGAUCAGUUGCAAGGAUCUCGGGUUUAUUCAAAGAUUGAUCUACAGUCCAGUUAUCAUCAACUCAAGAUCAAGCCGGAAGACGUUCAAAUGACCGCGUUUCGCACGUGGUAUGGACACUACGAAUUCACGGUCACGCAAUUUGGGCUCACUAAUGCCCCGGCAGCGUUCAUGGAUUUAAUGAACCGUGUCUUCAACGAGUACUUGGACUGAUUUGUCGUGGUCUUCAUAGACAACAUCUUGGUCUACUCGCGCAGCGACGAGGAACAUGCCGAGCAUUUGAAAAUCGUGCUUUAAAUCCUUCGGGAGGAGAAGUUGUAUGCUAAGUUUAAGAAAUGCGACUUUUGGCUCCGAGAGGUUGCAUUUCUUGGGCAUGUCAUUUCCGAGGGAGGAGUAUCUGUUGACCCGAGAAACGUGGAGGCAAUCAGGGAUUGGCCUCGCCCGACUAACGUCACAAAAGUUCGAAGCUUUGUGGGUUUAGCGGGUUAUUAUAGACGGUUCGUGGAGGGAUUCUCGAAAAUCGUGGGUCCACUUACCCGUCUGACUCGGAAAGGCACCAAGUUCAUUUGGAGUAACGAGUGCAACCGGAGUUUUCAAGAGUUGAAGGAUAGAUUAACUUCGACUCCGGUGCUCGCCUUACCGGUGCAAGACGAAGACUUUGUGGUGUAUAGCGACGCGUCGCAAUCGGGUUUGGGGUGUGUUCUGAUGCAGGGCGGGAAAGUGAUCGCAUAUGCGUCCCGUCAGCAGAAGAGCUAUGAGAAGAACUAUCCUGUCCAUGAUUUAGAGUUGGCCACAGUAGUGUUUGCUCUCAAGUUAUGGAGGCACUACUUGUACGGCGCACGUUGCGAGAUAUACACGGACCACAAAAGUCUAAAGUACCUGUUUACACAGAAGGAGCUCAAUAUGCGGCAACGGCGGUGGUUGGAAUUGCUAAAGGAUUUCGAUGUUACAAUCCUAUACCAUCCCGGAAAAGCAAACGUGGUGGCCGACGCGCUUAGCAGGAAGUCAGUGGAGAAUCUUGCUAUGUUGGUCACACGUCAAGAACCUCUGUGGAGAGAGAUGGAACGAUUGGAUCUCGAAGUGGUAGCUCCGGAAAUCCCGUCUAUGCUUACGGCUCUCGUUGUCCAUCCGACCUUGUUGGAGUGGAUUAAGAGUUUGCAACCUGCGGACCCCAAUCUCCAAAAGGUGCGGCGAGACAUCGAGAGUGGAUAUGGCGGUGAUUUUAGUGUAGACGCUUAGGUUGCCCUUCGGUUUCGAAACCGAUGGUGCGUACCGGAGAACGAGGAGGUCCGAAAGUUAAUAUUGCAAGAAGCACAUCGGACUCCUUAUAGUAUUCACCCGGGUGGCACCAAGAUGUACCGUGAUCUGAAGAUGCAGUACUGGUGGCCGGGCAUGAAAGCAGACAUCGUGCGCUAUGUAGCGCAGUGUUUAGUAUGCCAGCAAGUGAAGGCUGAGCGCCGAUUUCCAGCGGAAAAGCUCCAAAGUUUACCUAUUCCCAUUUAGAAAUGGGAGAAUAUCGCGAUGGACUUCGUGGUCGGAUUGCCCCGUUCGACGGGUGGCCACGAUGCGAUCUGGGUGAUUGUGGAUCGUAUGACUAAGUCGGCACACUUUCUACCCAUUCACACCACCUGGUCGGGCGACAAGUUGGCGCAGGUAUACUUGAAUGAAGUUGUGAGGUUGCACAGGGUUCCGAAGUCGAUCGUGUCAUAUCGAGACCCCCGUUUUACUUCGCACUUUUGGAAAAGUCUGCAAGAAGCACUUAGAACACGACUCGAUUUCAGCACCGCGUUUCAUCCUCAGACAGACGGACAGUCGGAAAGGACUAUACAAAUUCUGGAGGAUAUGUUGCGGGCGUGUGUCAUUGACUACAAGGGUAGUUGGGCAAACUAUUUGAGGAUGGCCGAGUUCGCCUACAAUAACAAUUAUCAAGCUAGCAUUGAGAUGGCACCGUUCGAGGUCCUAUAUGACCGGCAAUGCCGAUCCCCUAUAUAUUGGAGCGAUGUAGGUGAACCUCCGGCAUUGGGCCCAGACAUAUUGCGAGAGGCGGAAGAGAAGGCCCGUCUCGCUCGCGAGAGGCUACUUACGGCACAGUCGAGGCAAAAGAGCUAUUCUGACAAACGCCGUAGAGAUUUGGAAUUCGCGGCGGGUGACCGCGUUUUCUUGAAGGUUUCACCUAUGAGAGGUGUGAAACGCUUCGGAGUGCGGGGAAAGCUAAGUCCCCGAUAUAUUGGGCCUUUCGAAGUGUUGGAACAGGUUGGAGCGGUAGCGUACCGACUUGCAUUACCGCCGAAGCUUGCGGGGAUGCAUGAUGUAUUCCAUGUUUCUAACCUUCGUAAGUAUGUCCACGAUCCCGAGCAUGUCCUGUAUUACAAACUGCCGGAUCUACAAGAGGAUUUGAGGUAUGAAGAGUUCCCGGCGAUGAUCAUUGCUCGAGAAGUGCGGAAGCUAAGAAAUCGUGAGAUUCCCUAUGUGAAGAUUCGUUGGACCGGUCACGACGAUCGUGAGGCCACGUGGGAACUCGAGAAAUCGAUGAAAGUGCAUUAUUCUCAUCUCUUUGAGGAAAUGCGUUGAGGUAUGAGUUAAUUAAGUUAAUGAAUUCGUUUCGAGGACGAAACUCCUUUUUAGGAAGGGAAGAUGUGAGGAAGUGAAUUCUCGAAAUACGAGAGUUAGACUUCAUGCAAAAUCGACCAAGGGUCGUGUUGGUGAGCUUUGGAAAAGCCAAAUAUGUUAAAAUUACCAAAAGUGCUUUGGAAGUGAGUCCACGAGGGCAAAUAGUGCAAAACCUGCACUGGAGCAAAAUUGCUCUCGGGGACAGGUCUCUGGCAGGGAGGGACCGGUCCCAUUGGCUGGGGUUGCGGGGAUUCUUGAGGCAACCGGUCCCUGGCAGGGAGAGACCGGUCCCCGAACGCGAACCCAGCGAGAAAAGCCAAAAAUUUGGCUAAGUCCCGAAAAUCCUGCUCUCGGGAACUGGUCUCUCAGGAAGGAACCGGUCUCCCGAGGACCGGUCUCUCUGGGAGAGACCGGUACCCGAACGCGUGACUCGAGCUGAAGCUCUCGGGGACCGGUCCCAAGUCGGGGAGACCGGUCCCUCCGCGCGCAGAAUGCCCAGUAAGGACUGUGCAGGGGAUGAAAAGUAGAGGGGGCUGCUCGGAUAUUGUUACAUUAGAGAGUAUAGGGGACCCCCUCUCUCUCUUCAACCCUCAUUUCUCCCUCUCUCUCACACUCUUUUGCUCCCUCUCUCUCUCUAGAAGGAAAAGAGAAGAAGAACAAGAAGGAGAAGAAGGAAAGAAAGAGAAGAAAAGGAAGGAGAAGAAGAAGGAGAUAAAGAGGAAGACCUUGGACAUCUCCCCCUCCCCCUCCUCUUCCUCUUGGUGUAGCUAAGAGGUAAGCUACCAAACCCUAGCUUGUGAAACUUAGGGUUUUUGGGUUUUAGCUCUUUGGAUGGGAUCAAAUGGAUCCCUAGCACCAUGAAUGGUUGGAUUGGAGCUAGAAUCUAGGGUUUUGAUAUGGGUUUAGCUUGAUGCUAACCCUAGGGCACCAAAAUAGGGUUUUUUUUUGGUAAAGUAUGAGAUUGAUCUCAUUUGAAGUCUUGUAAACCUAAUUGGUAGGUGCCGAAACGUGGGGGCGAAGCUGGAAUUUCGAUUCGUCGAGCGGGUCAAGAACUAUCGGCAAAAUAAGGCCGAUUGAGCAUCAUUUGGACCAAGGAGACCGAGGCUUCGUCAUAAAGAACGCCGAAACGCAUUUCUAGAGCCUCCGUAUACACAAAAUGUGGGGGGUGUCAUCCCGAAGCAUCCGGGUUUCCUUUUAUGUCUAAGCUAAUUUUAUUCAUCAUAUGUUGAUUGUGCAUUAUAGGAUUAGUAGAAGCAUAUUUCCAUUCCUUGCAUGCUUACUUAGUAGUGUAGCGGUAUGGGCUUGACACUUGGACUAGGGAGGCAUGAGGAUUGGGUCUUGAGACCAGGAAUCCUAUAGUGGCAAAAGUGAUGAACUUGGACAUAGCCUAGUAGAGUGGCAUUGACUAGUAUAGUAGAAACACUAAACUUGAACGAGUGGCAUGUCGACUAGUUAGAAGAUAUUACUACAACGACUGAACGAGUGGCAUCGAGUCUAGUGUAGUAAAUAUGACAUGGUUCUUGGGAUAGUAGAGGUCCCGGCAUCUAGGAUGCAUUGUUUAUUGUGCAGCAGAGGCACAUUGACCCUUGUAGAUAGGGUAUCCUCUUGUGAGGAUUUGAUCAUACUCACUAGUCUGUUUUGCUUGUCGGUGGUCGCUCCACCGAGGCACGAGUCUCCGGAGUAUCUCACAGGGUUGUCCCACAGACGGUCUCGGUGUGCGAGUGCAGCUUGAAAUGCAUAGUAGACUUGCAUUAUUACCUUGAGUAGACAUAGUGUAUGCUGUAGAUUACAUUGCUAUGUACCUUAUAUACUCAUGACAUGAUGCUAGCAUGAUAGUAGUUGUUGCAUGCAUUAUUAUCAUUGAUGGCAUGAUAGAGUAGUUGUAGUUCAUUUUCUAUAUAUCUAUCUAUUUUUCUAUCUGUGGCAGCUUAGACCUAGUGGGAAAACCGGCGGCGACGGCGGCCGAACCCACUGGGAACUAUAUUCAUAUAGUUCUCACCCCGUGCAGUUUUGGGGUACAGUUACACACAGAGGCGAGCCGAGCGAGGACUGCGGCAAGGGCAUAGCGCCCUAAGUGAGCCUAGUUAGUAGCUUUUCCUUUAUGCAUUAGAGUACCCUCGUGUACUAGAUGAUGUUUUCGAUAGUUAUUGGAGACCUACUUGUAUUUUGAGGAAAACAUGUAUUUACAUUUUGGAAGAUGGAAAUGUAAUAUAUUCAAUGAAGUAAAUGCUGAAUGGUUGUAAUAGUUAGACUAUCUCUUUUUAUACACUUGUACAUUCACUUGUGAUUCUUGCUCUUAGUUAUAGUGCACUUGUGUGCAUCGUAUCGAUCAUGUAUGUUAUUUAAGCAUUCCUUGGGCACUUAAUUGUACAUGUUCUGGUUGCUUGGCCUUGGGCGGAUAGAAGAGGUGCUGUCCGUUCGGCGGUCCGUCCGGCGCGCACGAACCGUGCCAAAUUGGUAGUGGAUUCAGGGCAGGGUGUGACACUUUAAUUUUAACUUUAUCACUGAUUUAAGGAAAAAAAAUAAUGAAAUUGAUAAGAAAAAGAGAGAAAAGAAACCAUAGGGGGGCAAAUUGAUACAUUUUAAACAACAGGGGAGCAAAGUAAGAAAUUACGAAACCACAGGGGGGGUUUUUGAAGUUUUCCUAAAAAAAAGAUUAGUACAAAGAUAGUAACCUUUCAAUAAGUGUUAAAUUGGUAUCAUAUGUUGAUAUAAAUGCAUUUAAUACAUAUAUUUAAUAGUAAUAUAUAUACUUUAUUUUAUAAAUAUAAUUAAGAACAUACUUAUCGUACCCGUAGCACAGUAUGCGUACAUCGCUAAUACCUUCUAAUUUAUAUGCCAUCCAAACUGACACAUAUUCUUUUUUAUGAAUUAUUUUAGUAUUAAUACAUAUAAUAAAAGGC
rnacentral:lncRNA from 1 species